rnacentral:lncRNA from 1 species
CAGCCAUUGAUAUUUUCCUACUAAUCUGUCCAUAACUCUGUAGUGUUUGUAUUGUUCCUAUGCUAUUUCAUAAAUGGAUAUAUGCUUAUUACUAUGUGUUUCCUACAACAACCAUUGAGAAUAGUCAAUGAAUAUUCAAUUGGUCACUCAUGUACAGCUCUAUUUAUUUUCUUUAGAAACCACUUUGAAGAUACCAAAGUAUAGUGCAACAACCAUCAAUAAUAACCUAUCACUUUUGUCUGUAGCUCACUGUCAUUUGUCUAUUUGUUUUCCUGAGAAACUAUCUUGUAGAUAACAAUGUGUAAAACAACCACCAUUGAUAAUUUCCUACCAUUUUGUCUGUAAUUUGGUAAGCCCCCCUAUUACUAUUUAUCCUUCUUUUACUCUUUAAAAUUAAAAAAAAAAAGAAAGAGGCAAUUCUCUGGUGGACAUCCAUAGAUAUCCUUCAAGGUGCUUUCCAAAAAAUACCAGGUGCUCUGUGGAUCUGCACCAACUGGAAUCUGGUGGUGCAGAUCCCAGUACAGUGUCUGAGUUUAAGUGGUUAUGUAUCUCACUUUAUUGUACCUCCUCUCCAUCAAUCUUAUUUGCCAUCAUUAAGUUUCAGGUUACCAUAGGAACAGAAUGGAUUAUAAACUUACAGGACAGCAAUUUGUACAAGAUGCUGUUGAUGCUGUUAAAGUCUUUCUUCCCUGGAUAUGGGCCACAAAUAGGGGCUGUCUAGGCCUGCUGCCCUUAACUCCCAAGCUGCCAGCAAGUUCCUUGCACCACGGAGGGAGAGCAGAAGCCAGCAGGGACAAUGGAAGAGCAGCAGAGAGAAACCUACUCUGGAUGUUCUUAGUUGACCUCAGGAGCAGGAGGACUUAA